AGAGUUUUGAUCAUGGCUCAGGAUGAACGCUAGCUACAGGCUUAACACAUGCAAGUCGAGGGGCAGCAUGAAGUUUGCUUGCAAACUUUGAUGGCGACCGGCGCACGGGUGAGUAACGCGUAUCCAACCUUCCCCUUACUAGGGAAUAGCCCGGCGAAAACCGGAUUAAUGCCCGAUGUGGUCCAGCGAGGGCAUCUGACCCGGACCAAAGAUUUUGUCGGUUAAGGAUGGGGAUGCGUCUGAUUAGCUUGUUGGCGGGGUAACGGCCCACCAAGGCUACGAUCAGUAGGGGUUCUGAGAGGAAGGUCCCCCACAUUGGAACUGAGACACGGUCCAAACUCC
rnacentral:rRNA from 1 species